rnacentral:rRNA from 1 species
GUAGCAAUACUUAGUGGCAGACGGGUGAGUAACAUGUGGGUAUCUACCCUUUGGCCUGGAAUAACACGAGGAAACUUGUGCUAAUACCGGAUAAGUCUUUACGGAGAAAGCUUUAUGCACCAUUGGAUGAGCCCGCACUUGAUUAGUUUGUUGGUAGGGUAAUGGCCUACCAAGACUAUGAUCAAUAGCUGAUUUGAGAGGAUGAUCAGCCACAUUGGGACUGAGACACGGCCCAAACUCCUACGGGAGGCAGCAGUGGGGAAUCUUGCACAAUGGAGGAAACUCUGAUGCAGCGAUGCCGCGUGAGUGAAGAAGGCCUUUGGGUUGUAAAGCUCUUUCGUCGGGGAAGAAAAUGACUGUACCCGAAUAAGAAGGUCCGGCUAACUUCGUGCCAGCAGCCGCGGUAAUACGAAGGGACCUAGCGUAGUUCGGAAUUACUGGGCUUAAAGAGUUCGUAGGUGGUUGAAAAAGUUGGUGGUGAAAUCCCAGAGCUUAACUCUGGAACUGCCAUCAAAACUUUUUAGCUAGAGUAUGAUAGAGGAAAGCAGAAUUUCUAGUGUAGAGGUGAAAUUCGUAGAUAUUAGAAAGAAUACCAAUUGCGAAGGCAGCUUUCUGGAUCAUUACUGACACUGAG